rnacentral:rRNA from 1 species
GACGAACGCUGGCGGCGUGCUUAACACAUGCAAGUCGAACGGAAAGGCCCUGCUUUUGUGGGGUGCUCGAGUGGCGAACGGGUGAGUAACACGUGAGUAACCUGCCCUUGACUUUGGGAUAACUUCAGGAAACUGGGGCUAAUACCGGAUAGGAGCUCCUGCUGCAUGGUGGGGGUUGGAAAGUUUCGGCGGUUGGGGAUGGACUCGCGGCUUAUCAGCUUGUUGGUGGGGUAGUGGCUUACCAAGGCCUUGACGGGUAGCCGGCCUGCGAGGGGGACCGGCGACAUUGGGACUGAGAUACGGCCCAGACUCCUACGGGAGGCAGCAGUGGGGAAUAUUGCACAAUGGGCGGAAGCCUGAUGCAGCAACGCCGCGUGCGGGAUGACGGCCUUCGGGUUGUAAACCGCUGUCGCCUGUGACGAAGCGUGAGUGACGGUAAUGGGUAAAGAAGCACCGGCUAACUACGUG